UCGAGAAUCUUCCACAAUGGACGAAAGUCUGAUGGAGCGACGCCGCGUGCAGGAUGAAGUAUUUCGGUAUGUAAACUGCUUUUAUGGGGGAGGAAGUAAUUGACGUUACCCCAUGAAUAAGAGGUUGCUAAACUCGUGCCAGCAGCAGCGGUAAUACGAGUGCCUCAAGCGUUAUCCGGAAUUAUUGGGCGUAAAGGGUGUGUAGGUGGUUUUGUUAGUCUUUUGUUAAAACUCUCAGCUUAACUGAGAAUCUGCAAAGGAAACGGCAAGACUCGAGGACGUUAGAGGUUUAUGGAACUCAUGGUGGAGGGGUGAAAUCUGUUGAUAUCAUGGGGAACACCUAAAGCGAAGGCAGUAAACUGGAGCGUUCCUGACACUGAAACACGAAAGCGUGGGUAGCGAAUGGG
rnacentral:rRNA from 1 species